rnacentral:rRNA from 1 species
GAUGAACGCUAGCUACAGGCUUAACACAUGCAAGUCGAGGGGAAACGACAUCGAAAGCUUGCUUUUGAUGGGCGUCGACCGGCGCACGGGUGAGUAACGCGUAUCCAACCUGCCCAUCACUUGGGAAUAACCUUGCGAAAGUAAGACUAAUACCCAAUGAUAUCCCACGAAGGCAUCGGAAUGGGAUUAAAGAUUUAUCGGUGAUGGAUGGGGAUGCGUCUGAUUAGCUUGUUGGCGGGGUAACGGCCCACCAAGGCAACGAUCAGUAGGGGUUCUGAGAGGAAGGUCCCCCACAUUGGAACUGAGACACGGUCCAAACUCCUACGGGAGGCAGCAGUGAGGAAUAUUGGUCAAUGGGCGAGAGCCUGAACCAGCCAAGUAGCGUGCAGGAAGACGGCCCUAUGGGUUGUAAACUGCUUUUAUAAGGGAAUAAAGUGGGUCACGUGUGACUUUUUGCAUGUACCUUAUGAAUAAGGACCGGCUAAUUCCGCG